rnacentral:rRNA from 1 species
AUACGGAGGGUGCAAGCGUUAAUCGGAUUUACUGGGCGUAAAGCGCGCGUAGGCGGUUUGGUAAGUCGGAUGUGAAAUCCCAGGGCUCAACCUUGGAACUGCAUUCGAUACUGCCUCACUAGAGUAUGUCAGAGGGAAGUGGAAUUCCGGGUGUAGCGGUGAAAUGCGUAGAUAUCCGGAGGAACAUCAGUGGCGAAGGCGACUUCCUGGCCCAAUACUGACGCUGAGGUGCGAAAGCGUGGGGAGCAAACAGAAUUAGAUACCCCAGUAGUCC